rnacentral:rRNA from 1 species
GAUGAACGCUGGCGGCGUGCCUAAUACAUGCAAGUCGAGCGAACGGACGAGAAGCUUGCUUCUCUGAUGUUAGCGGCGGACGGGUGAGUAACACGUGGAUAACCUACCCAUAAGACUGGGAUAACUUCGGGAAACCGGAGCUAAUACCGGAUAAUAUUUUGAACCGCAUGGUUCAAAAGUGAAAGACGGUCUUGCUGUCACUUAUAGAUGGAUCCGCGCUGCAUUAGCUAGUUGGUAAGGUAACGGCUUACCAAGGCAACGAUGCAUAGCCGACCUGAGAGGGGGAUCGGCCACACUGGAACUGAGACACGGUCCAGACUCCUACGGGAGGCAGCAGUAGGGAAUCUUCCGCAAUGGGCGAAAGCCUGACGGAGCAACGCCGCGUGAGUGAUGAAGGUCUUCGGAUCGUAAAACUCUGUUAUUAGGGAAGAACAUAUGUGUAAGUAACUGUGCACAUCUUGACGGUACCUAAUCAGAAAGCCACGGCUAACUACGU